rnacentral:rRNA from 1 species
CCACUAUCAUUUUGGGGUUAUGCAUUAGAGACAGUUACAUUCACUUUAAAUAGGGCACCAUCUAAGUCAGUGGAGACGACACUGUAUGAACUAUGGUUUGGCAAGAAACCUAAGUUGUUGUUUCUUAAGGUUUGGGGCUACGAUUUUCUUGAUAGGCUUCGGCCAGAAAAGCUCAAACCCAAAGCGGAAAAUCGUGUCUUCAUAGAAUACCCAAACAAGAUGAUUGGGUAUACCUUCUAUCUCAGAUCUGAGGGCAAAGUGUUUGUCGCUAUUAAUAGGUCCUUUCUUGAGAAAGAGUUUCUCUCGAAAGAAUUGAGUGGGAGAAAGAUAGAACUUGAUGAAGUUGUUGAACCUUCACUUCAACCAGAAAGUAGCGCAGCACGGAAAGAUGUUUCUAUGGCAACUACGUCAGGUGAAGAGAAAGCUAAUGAUGAUGAUCAUGAAGCUUCAGAUCAAAUUACUAUCGAACCUCGUAGGUCGACAAGGGUGUGUAAAACUUCUCAGUGGUAA